rnacentral:RNase_P_RNA from 23 species
UGAGUAGAGCAGAUGAUCGCAGCUGCUAUUGCCGAAAGGACGCAGGUGAGGAAAGUCCGGGCUUCAUAGGGCAGGGUGCCGGCUAACGGCCGGUGGAGGUGACUCCCAGGAAAGUGCAACAGAAAUAAAACCGCCAGCUUGCUGGUAAGGAUGAAAUGGUAGUGUAAGAGACUACCGCUUCGGUGGUAACAUCGAGGGUCAGUGUAAACCCCACUUGAAGCAAGACCGAGCAGAAAGCAUAUGGUUGCCCGCCAGCUUUCGGGUAGGUUGCUUGAACAUAUUGGUAACGAUAUGUCUAGAUAGAUGAUCAUCCACGACAUAACCCGGCUUACAGCUUUACUCAUUCA